rnacentral:rRNA from 1 species
AUUGAACGCUGGCGGAAUGCUUUACACAUGCAAGUCGAACGGCAGCACGGACUUCGGUCUGGUGGCGAGUGGCGAACGGGUGAGUAAUACAUCGGAACGUGCCCAGUCGUGGGGGAUAACGUAGCGAAAGCUACGCUAAUACCGCAUACGAUCUAAGGAUGAAAGCGGGGGAUCGCAAGACCUCGCGCGAUUGGAGCGGCCGAUGGCAGAUUAGGUAGUUGGUGGGGUAAAGGCUCACCAAGCCGACGAUCUGUAGCUGGUCUGAGAGGACGACCAGCCACACUGGGACUGAGACACGGCCCAGACUCCUACGGGAGGCAGCAGUGGGGAAUUUUGGACAAUGGGCGCAAGCCUGAUCCAGCCAUUCCGCGUGCAGGAUGAAGGCCCUCGGGUUGUAAACUGCUUUUGUACAGAACGAAAAGGCUCUGGUUAAUACCUGGGGCUCAUGACGGUACUGUAAGAAUAAGCACCGGCUAACUACGUG